CCUACGGGGGGCAGCAGUGGGGAAUAUUGCACAAUGGGGGAAACCCUGAUGCAGCGAAGCCGCGUGAGUGAGGAAGUAUUUCGGUAUGUAAAGCUCUAUCUGUAGAGAAGAAAAGGACGGUACCUGACUAAGAAGCCACGGAUAACUACGUUCCAGCAGCUGCGGUAACACGUGGGGGGCAAGCGUUAUCCGGAUUUACUGGGUUUAAAGGGAGCGUAGACGGGUUAGCAAGUCAGAUGUGAAAAUCCGGGGCCCAACCUCGGAACUGCAGUUGAAACUGUAUGUCUUGAGUGGCGGAGAGGCAAGCGGAAUGCCUGGUGUAGCGGUGAAAUGCUUAGAUAUCAGGAAGAACACCAGUGGCGAAGGCAGCUUGCUGGACUAUGACUGACGUUGAGGCUCGAAAGCGUGGGGAGCAAACAGGAUUAGAUACCCUUGUAGUC
rnacentral:rRNA from 1 species